rnacentral:lncRNA from 1 species
UUCUUCUUCUUCUUCNNCUUCUUCUUCUCCUUCUCCUUCUUCUUCUUAUUCUUCUUCUUCUUCUCCUUCUCCUUCUUCUUCUUCUUCUUCUUCUCCUUCUCCUUCUUCUUCUCCUCUUUCUUCUUCUCCUUAGCUUAUUUCCCCAAGAAAGACAUACUUAGCUAUUUAUCCUCCAAAAUGCUAUAAUUAGCUAAUUCAGUUCAUUUAUGACAUAAUUAGCUUAGUUAGGUAAAAAGCAUCACAAGAACCUUGGUUAUCUCAUAACUUAGCGUAUCUUCCUCCUAAAUGACAUAAUAAGCUCAAAAUAAGAAAAGUAUUGUAAUCAUCCUCUUUCUCUUCCUCUCCUUCUUAUUCUUCUUCUUCUCCU